rnacentral:rRNA from 1 species
UACGGAGGGUGCAAGCGUUACUCGGAAUCACUGGGCGUAAAGCGCACGUAGGCGGACUCGUAGGUCAAUUGUGAAAUACCUGGGCUCAACCCGGGAACUGCAGUUGAAACCGCUUGUCUUGAAUACCUGAGAGGGUGGGGGAAUACCUGGUGGAGAAGUGAAAUUCGUAGAGAUCAGGUGGAACACCGGAGGCGAAGGCGCCUGCCUGGCAGUGUAUUGACGCUGAGGUGCGAAAGUGCGGGGAGCAAACAGG